rnacentral:rRNA from 1 species
CAUGAGAGUUGGGAAUACCCGAAGCCUGUGAGCCAACCGUAAGGGGGCGAGCAGUCGAAGGUAGAAUCAAUGAUUGGGGUGAAGUCGUAACAAGGUAUC